rnacentral:rRNA from 1 species
ACAUGCAAGUCGAACGAGCCUUCGGGCUAGUGGCGGACGGGUGAGUAACGCGUGGGAAUCUGCCCUCAGGAGGGGGAUAACGGUCGGAAACGGCCGCUAAUACCCCAUAUGCCGAGAGGUGAAAUGAAUUUCGCCUGAGGAUGAGCCCGCGUCUGAUUAGCUAGUUGGUGGGGUAAUGGCCCACCAAGGCGACGAUCAGUAGCUGGUCUGAGAGGAUGAUCAGCCACACUGGGACUGAGACACGGCCCAGACUCCUACGGGAGGCAGCAGUGGGGAAUUUUCCGCAAUGGGCGAAAGCCUGACGGAGCAACGCCGCGUGAGGGAUGAAGGCCUCUGGGCUGUAAACCUCUUUUCUCAAGGAAGAAGACAUGACGGUACUUGAGGAAUAAGCCACGGCUAAUUCCGUGCCAGCAGCCGCGGUAAUACGGGAGUGGCAAGCGUUAUCCGGAAUUAUUGGGCGUAAAGCGUCCGCAGGCGGCCUUGUAAGUCUGUCGUUAAAGCGUGGAGCUUAACUCCAUUUCAGCGAUGGAAACUACAAGGCUUGAGUGUGGUAGGGGCAGAGGGAAUUCCCGGUGUAGCGGUGAAAUGCGUAGAUAUCGGGAAGAACACCAGUGGCGAAGGCGCUCUGCUGGGCCAUAACUGACGCUCAUGGACGAAAGCCAGGGGAGCGAAAGGGAUUAGAUACCCCUGUAGUCCUGGCCGUAAACGAUGAACACUAGGUGUCGGGGGAAUCGACCCCCUCGGUGUCGUAGCUAACGCGUUAAGUGUUCCGCCUGGGGAGUACGCACGCAAGUGUGAAACUCAAAGGAAUUGACGGGGGCCCGCACAAGCGGUGGAGUAUGUGGUUUAAUUCGAUGCAACGCGAAGAACCUUACCAGGGUUUGACAUCCUGCGAAUCCCUUGGAAACGAGGGAGUGCCUUCGGGAGCGCAGAGACAGGUGGUGCAUGGCUGUCGUCAGCUCGUGUCGUGAGAUGUUGGGUUAAGUCCCGCAACGAGCGCAACCCACGUCUUUAGUUGCCAGCAUUCAGUUGGGCACUCUAGAGAGACCGCCGGUGAUAAACCGGAGGAAGGUGUGGAUGACGUCAAGUCAUCAUGCCCCUUACAUCCUGGGCUACACACGUACUACAAUGCUACGGACAAAGGGUUGCAAGCUCGCGAGAGUUAGCUAAUCCCAUAAACCGUGGCUCAGUUCAGAUCGUAGGCUGCAACUCGCCUACGUGAAGGAGGAAUCGCUAGUAAUCGCAGGUCAGCAUACUGCGGUGAAUACGUUCCCGGGCCUUGUACACACCGCCCGUCACACCAUGGAAGUUGGCCAUGCCC